rnacentral:sRNA from 1 species
UGUUCCCUUAGCAAUUUAUUUCUGAUAUUCUUGGGAAUAGGGUAGACUGUAGCACAAGGGGGGAGCUUCCUGGAAGUUCCUAUGGUGCCACAGAGACGAAGGCUAUUAAUUCCAGCUGGGAGUAUCAGCCCCCAUAUUGCUGCAGACUGGAAAAUUACACCACACACAAACCCUGUCUUUGGAGCCAGGCCCGGCAGCUGGGAAGAUGGUCCCUAGGCCCCUUUCAAUUGUAUAAGAGCGGGCCUCCGAAAGGCAACACCCAAACAAAACAAGACAAGACAAGGCCAAAGCCCUCAUACUGAGACUGAACAAGGCAACCCAAUAGGAGAAGAGUCCCCAAACCAGACCAAAGAGUCAGAAAUACACCUGCUUCAACUCUUAGAAGUCUCACAGAGAUGCCAAGGCACAGCCAUAACAUGCAGAAAGGACAUGGGACAGACUCAUGCAGGCUCCGUGCUUGGUCCACCAGUCUCUGAAAUAUGUCCUCUCACAAGAUAGAAUCUUCAGCUCUGGGGCUGCCUCUGAUGGCUCUGUGACCAUGCAGGGCAGUGGAGCUUUCCUGAAGAGGUCACCACAAUCCUCCAGAGCUCACACAGCAUGGCCACCUCUGCUUUAUAGUGCUAACAGGGUCUCUGUGUUGGGCUUUUGCUCUGCCUGUUCAUAGUGGCUGAGAAUUCCAUGUCUGGGAUGCCCAAGGAGCUUGGAGGGCUCCGUUCAUCUCUCAGUCCCAAAGACAACUAGGCGUCAGCAAGCAGAACCUUUACUGAUGCCAAAUGAAUGGACACAUCUGGGAGGAAAAGUGAAUGAAGCCAGAGAAGGUACAGGGUAAGAUGAGACCUCCAUCGGGGAAAACCGAACAGUAUGCAGUGUGGGUGGGGAGAGGUGGAGGGAGAGACACAGAAACCUGCCCUGCUCAGACUGCAGACAGAGCAUGGGAAGCUUUAAGGGGCAGAAUGAGACAAUAUGCAGGACAUUCGAAAUGGUGCCUGGCACCUGGGAAACACUUCAAUAAUGUGAGGUUGAUUACUGCUACCUUUAUAUUAUGAGAAAUAUUAACAAUUUGUAUGUUUCUAGUUACUUUUCAUUAUCAAGGUGGCGUUUCUGAAUUUUAGAAUCAUCCCAAAAGCUUGUUGUUGCCAAGAGCUUGCUUUCUGAAUCUGUUAAAAAAAUAAAAAGCACAAGUAAGCCUCACAGGAUGGAUCACGACAGCACAAACUAAAAUCACCAUCACAUGGACGCUUUCUGAGAUCAAGGACACAGCCUGGUUCCAGGGAGCUUGAGAGAGACCUUGCCUAUGCUUCCCCAAUACAAUAAGGUCAUGGUGUCUGCAUCCCAGGGCACUGCGAGCUGCUUCUGAACUUUGCAAUGGGUGAUACGGCGCAACUCUGGGAAGUAUCCGAGUGGACCUGGAGAAGCUUGAGGUGCCAGAGACAGAAUUCCAUAGCAAACAUAACAGAAGCAACAGCAACAGUGGCUUGCCUGAGUCCCUACAAAAGAGGAGGUACCAGACCCAAGCUCCCCAAAACCACAACACAGUGGCAACUGGGUGUUUCUUUGUUUUGUUUCAUUUUUUGUUUUUUGUUAUCGUUGUUGUUUUUGUUGUUGUUGUUGUUUUGUUUCUUUCCUACCUGGCCAGUUUGCUUUUUUCCUCUUUGCUAACAGCAUUGCCAAGCAUUCUUUUCAGAGGCAGAGGUUUCUCAUUUCUAGAACGUGUUUUGGAUACAGCUGACUGAGCCUAACCUCACAGUAAAGCAUAGGACUCAGCCCUGCCCAUUGGUACUGACUUCAGAAAGGCCCGAAAGAACAUGUGACCCGAGUAAAAAAUCAAUCAGAUUCUGCUAUAGGAUGCUGCUGAAAUGGUUGUUCAUAGAUAACCUCAUUUUCUUUUUUUCCUU